CCUACGGGUGGCUGCAGUAGGGAAUAUUGGACAAUGGGGGCAACCCUGAUCCAGCGACGCCGCGUGAGCGAUGAAGGCCUUCGGGUCGUAAAGCUCUGUUGUAAGGGAAAAAGUUCUGAUUGUACCUUACGAGAAAGGAUCGGCUAACUUCGUGCCAGCAGCCGCGGUAAGACGAGGGAUCCUAGCGUUGUUCGGAAUUAUUGGGCGUAAAGCGGGUGCAGGUGGCCUUGUAAGUCGAGUGUGAAAGCCUGGGGCUUAACCCCAGAAGUGCAUUC
rnacentral:rRNA from 1 species